ensembl:lncRNA
CAAGAUACAGGCAGCGAGGCAAAAGCCAGCAAGGUGGGGGAGGAAGAGGAGGCCAUGGGGGGGUCAAGGGUAAUCUGACGGCAGUGAGAGUGAGGGCUGUGUGUCGGACAGCAGCGACAUCCACAGCGCCUGUCUGACACACAGCCAGCGGGAAAAGCUCUCCGCAGAGCAAAUCAAAAUGUUUUUACAAAAAGUCAAAAAUAGGAGGAAUCUGAAAAUCGAGGAGUUUUUCCCAGACCUGGUGUGUUUUUAUUACUCAGCCAGACUCCGCAUGAGCCAGCGAGAGGAGUCUGGCUUCACAGAUCAAGAGGGUUUUAGACUGAAAAAACUUGUGCUAAAAGCAAAACGAGCAAUCGAUGAUCACGAAAAAAGCCCCAAUGUGUGUUUUAAUUGAUUUAUUGGUUUUAUUUUUAUUUUUUAUCAUGGAUACUUUAAAAGUGGGAAGCCUGAAUGUGAACGGAGCCAGAGAUGCCAAGAAGAGGGCAUCUAUUUAUGAAUUUUAAAAAAUGAAACGUCUUGAUGUUCUCUUCGUGCAAGAGACGCACAGCGACAGCACCAACGAGGCCGACUGGAGGAGGGAGUGGGAAGGGGAAGUCCUGCUGAGCCACAACACCAACCUCAGUGGAGGAGUGGGCUUCCUCUUCUCCAGGUCUUUUAAGCCAAUCUCCCUGGAGGUCAAACACAUCAUCGAGGGGAGGUUGUUUUUAGUCAAGGCACGGUUCGACCUUUUUACUGUUUUUAUCAAUGUGUAUGCUCCAACAAUCGGUACAGAGAGGAAGCUUUUUUUAACAAAAGUUAAUGAUCUUUUAGAUGGCUGUGCCCCGGAGGAUUUUUUAUUCUUGGGGGGGGAUUUUAACUGCACAGAAGAUGCGACCAUAGACCGCAACCACGCAGAGCCACAUCCAGCUUCCCAGCACGCUCUGAGGCAGCUGGUCCAGUCUCAUGGCCUGGUGGAUGUGUGGAGAAGGAUGCAUGCAGACUGCCGACAGUACACGUGGUCCCACCUCAGAGAAGCACACUUUCAACGUGACCAGAGACAUCACCAGAUCUAUGAAGGACCUGGAGACC